AUGACGGAAGAAGCACGCUUACACGUGUGAAACAGCCGGCGUAGCCUCCAAGCGCCCACUUACCUGCACCGAUGCUGUGAUCCAGCCUUUCCGUGGACCGGACCACCAUGCUGAGCAGUCUUCAUUGAGCGACCCCUGCAAAUGUAAAUCUUGGUUUUGUACCCUCGGACCCUCCUUCAUAUUCACAAGCAACAAACUAUGGACCACCACCACCAUUUCAGCAACCUGCACCGUCACCCCCACCACCCCCAUAUCCUUGUUUAGCACCAACUUCCUCAUCUGAUGUUUCUAAUGAAUGGAAAGACUAUUUACAACCACCACCGUACUCUGAAUAAGGACCUUUACGAUUGAAGGAAGAAAAUACAGUUAUUGACGGAACUGAUAAUUAUAUGGAAUAUUUCUAGGAUAUGCUGUCUGUUGAGGGUCCGACUGCUGUGGAGAGCCUUUGGUCUCUUCAAGUAUUUCCUUGCUUAAAGCUCGUGUUGUGAUGGUCCCCAACUAGCAAGGGCAGUGUCUGCCAAGCAUUAAAAAGUCUUGUUGCCUACUUUGU